GAUGGACGCUGGCGGCGUGCCUAAUACAUGCAAGUCGAGCGAACAGACGAGGAGCUUGCUCCUCUGACGUUAGCGGCGGACGGGUGAGUAACACGUGGAUAACCUACCUAUAAGACUGGGAUAACUUCGGGAAACCGGAGCUAAUACCGGAUAAUAUAUUGAACCGCAUGGUUCAAUAGUGAAAGACGGUUUUGCUGUCACUUAUAGAUGGAUCCGCGCCGCAUUAGCUAGUUGGUAAGGUAACGGCUUACCAAGGCAACGAUGCGUAGCCGACCUGAGAGGGUGAUCGGCCACACUGGAACUGAGACACGGUCCAGACUCCUACGGGAGGCAGCAGUAGGGAAUCUUCCGCAAUGGGCGAGAGCCUGACGGAGCAACGCCGCGUGAGUGAUGAAGGUCUUCGGAUCGUAAAACUCUGUUAUUAGGGAAGAACAAAUGUGUAAGUAACUAUGCACGUCUUGACGGUACCUAAUCAGAAAGCCACGGCUAACUACGUG
rnacentral:rRNA from 1 species